rnacentral:rRNA from 1 species
GUGGGGAAUAUUGCGCAAUGGGGGAAACCCUGACGCAGCAACGCCGCGUGAUUGAAGAAGGCCUUCGGGUUGUAAAGAUCUUUAAUCAGGGACGAAACAAAUGACGGUACCUGAAGAAUAAGCUCCGGCUAACUACGUGCCAGCAGCCGCGGUAAUACGUAGGGAGCAAGCGUUAUCCGGAUUUACUGGGUGUAAAGGGCGCGCAGGCGGGCCGGUAAGUUGGAAGUGAAAUCUAUGGGCUUAACCCAUAAACUGCUUUCAAAACUGCUGGUCUUGAGUGAUGGAGAGGCAGGCGGAAUUCCGUGUGUAGCGGUGAAAUGCGUAGAUAUACGGAGGAACACCAGUGGCGAAGGCGGCCUGCUGGACAUUAACUGACGCUGAGGCGCGAAAGCGUGGGGAGCAAACAGGAUUAGAAACCCUUGUAGUCC